CCUGGUUGUAUCGUAACCAUUUUAAUGUCAGGCGCCGUCCUUUAUUAAUUCAACCCGAGACGGGAAAAAGUUAAGUAGAAUAAAAAAGGAGUUAAAACAAGUGUAGGCGAGAUGGUCUAGUGGUAACGACAAAGUGUUGUAAGUGCGAGAAGCCAGGUUCGAUUCCUGGUGUGUCAUAAGCUUUUUAAUGUCAGGCGACGUCCUUAAUUAAUUCCACCCGAGACGGGAAAAAGUUAAGUAGAAUAAAAAAGGAGUUACAGCAAGUGCCGGCGAGAUGGUCUAGUGGUAACGACAAAGUGUUGCAAGUGUGUGAAGCCAGGUUCGAUUCCUGGUUCUGUUAAGAACAUUUUAAUGUCAGGCGCAUUCCUUAAUUAUUCCACCCGAGACGGGAAAACGUUAAGUAAAAUAAAAAGGAAGUUAAAGCGAGCGUAGGCGAGAUGGUUUAGUGGCAAGGACAAAGUGUUGCAAGUGCAUGAAGCCAGUGUCGAUUCCUGCUGUAGACAAACAGCAUUUUAAUGUCAGACAUCGUCCUUUAUUAAUUCCACCCGAGACGGGAAAACGUUAAGUAAAAUAAAAAGGGAGUUAAAGCAAGUGUAGGCGGGAUGGUCUAGAGGUAACGACAAAGUGUUGCAAGUGUUUGAAGCCAGGAUCGAUUCUUGCUGUAGUCAACGGCCAUUUUAAUCGAGGGAACCUUUUCCUGACGCUGAGGAUAAAGUACCUGACGCUGAGGACAAGGUUCCUGACGCUGAGAAAUUUCGAACCUUUUGUUCUAUUGAAUUUCAAGGCCCCUUGUAGCAAAAACUUGAAUUUGCCACGGUCUGAAAAUUGUAUUUCUGGAAUCUACGUUCGGUAGGCUUUCUGUCGAUACCUCAUUCUUCCAUAACAAGAAAGUUCGUGAACAUAAAAAGCAAG